UGGCUGAACCUGAUCGGGUUGCCUACGUACCCCUUCAUAAGGGGGAUCAAGCCAUACGUAGUUCUUUUUAAGUUUUAAAACGUAGCGAAAAAAUCGAAUCAAACAAUUUAAUUCAUGCAUGCUUACAAGAUCAAAUUUAGAAAUCAACACCUUAAGAACACAUAGGAUUAUGCCGGAAUCGUUUAAACAAUUAUGCUAAAACUUUCAUGCAUGAUUAACUAUCAGAUCUGAAACUUAAGAACUCUAUUCCGAUUAAUCUCCGAAUAUCCAUUGAAUGGAUUCUGGAGAUAUCUCCGUGAGGAGCCCCAAAAGAGGAUAAAACCUCGGGGAAUCAGACCUAGAUUUUGACACCAUAAUAAAAGAUUAAUGUAGGAUUAAUACCU
rnacentral:lncRNA from 1 species